CACACAAUGAUUUUCUUCCUGUUCUGUUCAAACCUUAAGGGAGAGACAAACUAAGAAGAAGACAGAACGUAAUGAUAGCUAAUUCCUUUACAGCAUUAUAGGUGUUGUAGAAAUAAUUAAUAAUUUCAAAAAAUACAUGGUUUUCUGACUAUUGGCGAUGUACCUAGUUAUUGAGUGUCAAGGUUAAGAUUGUCAAACAUUCUGUGUCAAGUCCUGAUAAAUUUGUGAGCUGUGAGAAUAAAAAGGAACUCCUCAUCAUCCUUCUGUCCUGGACUUGAGAGCCUCCUGUUACUGGAGAGAGAUCUCAAUGUACUCUAAAGCUUUGAUCCCUGUCCUCUGUCUUAGGAGAGAUGCUAGACUUGAGGAGUUGAUUUUUUUCCCUCUGGCAAAUCCCAGUUUCUCUUUUCACUCUGCAGGAAAAUGUUUUUCUUAGAAUCUGAUACUCACAUACAUGGAAUUAAAACUUCCGUUUGGCCAUCAUGAAUACCACAGUAACAAAUACGAAAAUCAGGUUUGAACAAUCAGCUUUUGGCCUUUAUUUUUGAGAAGGAAAUUCUAGGGAACGUACUGGAAGUGGCUGUGUUUAGAUACCACAAAACUCAAUUGAUUUUAAGAGCUGCCAACUAAUUACCCAUCAAGCUGAGUGUAGCUCUGAGUCAUCAAGACAUGAGCUCUGU